rnacentral:rRNA from 1 species
AGCAGCCGCGGUAAUUCCAGCUCCAAUAGCGUAUAUUAAAGUUGUUGCAGUUAAAAAGCUCGUAGUUGAAUUUCGGGGUUAGUAGAUUGGUCAUGCCUCUGGUAUGUACUGGUCUCACUGAUUCCUCCUUCCUGAUGAACCUUAAUGCCAUUAAUUUGGUGUUUUGGGGAAUUUGGACUGUUACUUUGAAAAAAUUAGAGUGUUUAAAGCAAGCUAACGCUUGAAUACAUUAGCAUGGAAUAAUGAAAUAGGACGUUCGAUCCUAUUUUGUUGGUUUCUAGGAUUGACGUAUUGAUUAAUAGGGAUAGUUGGGGGCAUUAGUAUUCAAUUGUCAGAGGUGAAAUUCUUGGGUUUAUUGAAGACUAACUACUGCGAAAGCAUUUGCCAAGGAUGUUUUCAUUAAUCAAGAACGAAAGUUAGGGGAUCGAAGACGAUCAGAUACCGUCGUAGUCUUAACCAUAAACUAUGCCGACUAGGGAUCGGAUGAUGUUAAUUUUUUAAUGACUCA